UACGUAGGGUGCAAGCGUUGUCCGGAAUUAUUGGGCGUAAAGAGCUCGUAGGCGGUUUGUCGCGUCGAAUGUGAAAACCCGGGGCUCAACUCCGGGCCUGCAUUCGAUACGGGCAGACUAGAGUUCGGUAGGGGAGUCUGGAAUUCCUGGUGUAGCGGUGAAAUGCGCAGAUAUCAGGAGGAACACCGGUGGCGAAGGCGGGACUCUGGGCCGAUACUGACGCUGAGGCGCGAAAGCCAGGGGAGCAAACGGG
rnacentral:rRNA from 1 species